CUUGGAACCUGUGCCUGUCUCUGUAAGAGCUAGAAAAAUAAAAACACCGUGUAAAUGCUUCACAUAAAACUGCACUCAGUGUGAAGACAAGUGGAUGCCUGUGGUGACAUCAACUUCAAGGGACUCUCUUGUGGUUACCUGUAGCUGUGUAGCUGUGGGACACUUUGCCUUGCUGUCUGCUCUUUGGUACAACCGAGACGGUGUCUGAUGCCUCCUUGGGCCUUUCCACAACAUCCCCCUCAUGAAGACUGAACUGAAGAAUAUUCCUGAGGACACAGACAUCUGUAAGAGAAGAUUGCUUUACUCCUAUCUGCCACAGGGAUAUAGAUAUUUUUGUUGUCUUCUUAUGAUAUAGUGCUUCUCUUUUCUAGGUGAGCUAUAGAAACUCUUGGCAUUAAAAAAUAUUUGGUAGGAAUAGGCAGAGUAAACUGUUGCACUGAAGUUCUAAGUCUUGCAAUGACAUUCAUAGCUCAGGCUAGACAUCUGAAUGCUUCUCAAAUAUCGAGUAUCACGAAACUAAAAAUUAGAGCAGCUGAAGUCUGUGAUUUUUACAUGAAUAAGGAAAAUUCAAAUGAGUUCUUAUUAAAAUUCCCAUCCAUCUUUAGUUAUAGGAAUAGUGAAUCAGAAACAGACUAAGUUGAAAGCAAAGACUUCAUUUCCUCAUGUGAACAUAACAUCUGAGCCCCAGUGCCCAUGACUAUAACACCUGUGCUUUGAUUUGGGCCUGUAUUUUAUGUUUAAAUUGAAGACAUGAUAUUACUGCUAGAUAAUAUGUUUCAUUUUUAGGUCAACAUUUUCUGGCCACACUGGACUCCCAACUGUUACCUAGAACUUUUGCAAAAAUACAUGGAGUACAUGCAAAGGUACAAAAAUAGGAGUGUUCUCCAAGGUUCUUUUUAUCAACCUGUUUUUUCUGACAGCUAGCUCUAACGGGAGCUGAGAGCUCCUAUGCUUGAUAUUAGAUAUUAGAUAUUAGAUUUGAUAUUAGAAGUCCUAAUGUCACUAAAGCUGGCUCCCAGAUUAUUCCCGUACAACAAAGAUUUUACCUUCAGAAUGUGUUAUUUUGGUACACUUGCACAUAAAACUUUGUCAGAUGAAGUACUUAGAAAAUUUAAGGCUUAUUGUGAAGGAAAGCUGCAUUUACCGACCUUAUUGCUUCAUUAUGACGAUAAGAGCUCAGAGUCCUUAAACACUGUUCAUGUUCUCUUUCUUGAAGUCACAAAAGGGC
rnacentral:lncRNA from 7 species